AACGAACGCUGGCGGCAGGCUUAACACAUGCAAGUCGAACGCAUCCUUCGGGGUGAGUGGCAGACGGGUGAGUAACGCGUGGGAACGUGCCCUUCAGUUCGGGAUAACCCAGGGAAACUUGGGCUAAUACCGGAUACGUGCGAGAGCAGAAAGAUUUAUCGCUGAAGGAUCGGCCCGCGUCGGAUUAGCUAGGUGGUGGGGUAAUGGCCCACCAAGGCGACGAUCAGUAGCUGGUCUGAGAGGAAGACCAGGCACAUGGGGGCUGAGACACGGCCCAAGCUCCUAGGGGGGGCAGCGGUGGGGAAUAUUGGACAAUGGGGGCAAGCCUGAUCCAGCCAUGCCGCGUGAGUGAUGAAGGCCUUAGGGUUGUAAAGCUCUUUCGUCCGGGACGAUAAUGACGGUACCGGAAGAAGAAGCCCCGGCUAACUUCGUGCCAGCCGCCGCCGUAA
rnacentral:rRNA from 1 species